UCCUGCCGGACCUGACUGCUAUCGGAUUGAUACUAAGCCAUGCGAGUCAUUGUAGCAAUACAAGGCAGACGGCUCAGUAACGCGUAGUCAACCUACCCUAUGGACGGGAAUAACCUCGGGAAACUGAGUAUAAUGCCCGAUAGAACAUUAUGCCUGGAAUGGUUUAUGUUCCAAAUGAUUUAUCGCCGUAGGAUGGGACUGCGGCCUAUCAGUUUGUUGGUGAGGUAAUGGCCCACCAAGACUAUUACAGGUACGGGCUCUGAGAGGAGUAGCCCGGAGAUGGGUACUGAGACACGGACCCAGGCCCUAUGGGGCGCAGCAGGCGAGAAAACUUUGCAAUGUGCGAAAGCACGACAAGGUUAAUCCGAGUGGUUUCUGCUAAAGGAACCUUUUGUUAGUCCUAAAAACACUAACGAAUAAGGGGUGGGCAAGUUCUGGUGUCAGCCGCCGCGGUAAAACCAGCACCUCAAGUGGUCAGGAUGAUUAUUGGGCCUAAAGCAUCCGUAGCCUGCUCUGUAAGUUUUCGGUUAAAUCUGUAUGCUCAACAUACAGGCCGCCGGGAAUACUGCAGGGCUAGGGAGUGGGAGAGGUAGACGGUACUCGGGAGGAAGUGGUAAAAUGCUUUGAUCUCUCGAUGACCACCUGUGGCGAAGGCGGUCUACCAGAACACGUCCGACGGUGAGGGAUGAAAGCUGGGGGAGCAAACCGGAUUAGAUACCCGGGUAGUCCCAGCCGUAAACUAUGCAAACUCAGUGAUGCAUUGGCUUGUGGCCAAUGCAGUGUUGCAGGGAAGCCGUUAAGUUUGCCGCCUGGGAAGUACGUACGCAAGUAUGAAACUUAAAGGAAUUGGCGGGGGAGCACCACAAGGGGUGAAGCCUGCGGUUCAAU
rnacentral:rRNA from 1 species